AUUGAACGCUGGCGGCAGGCCUAACACAUGCAAGUCGAACGAGUGGCGGACGGGUGAGUAAUGUCUGGAAAACUGCACGAUGGAGGGGGAUAACUACUGGAAACGGUAGCUAAUACCGCAUACCAUCGGAUGUGCCCAGAUGGGAUUAGCUAGUAGGUGGGGUAACGGCUCACCUGGGCUACGAUCCCUAGCUGGUCUGAGAGGAUGACCAGCCACACUGGAACUGAAAUACGGUCAAGACUCCGACGUGAGGAAGCAGUGGGGAAUAUUGAACAAUGGGCGCAAGCCUGAUGCAGACAUGCCGGGUGUAUGAAGAAGGCAUUCGGGUGGUAAAGUACGUUCAGCGAGGAGGCGUUACUCGCAGAAGAAGCACCGGAUAACUCCGUGCCAGAAGCCGCGGUAAUAC
rnacentral:rRNA from 1 species